rnacentral:rRNA from 1 species
GACACUGGUAGACAGGUUGAGAAUACCAAGGCGAACGGGAGAACCCUCGUUAAGGAACUAGGCAAAAUGGCUCCGUAACUUCGGGAGAAGGAGCGCCUGGCGCAAGCCAGGCCACAGUGAAAUGGCCCUGCCGACUGUUUAACAAAAGCACAGGUCUCUGCUAACGCGAAAGCGGAUGUAUAGGGGCUGACGCCUGCCCAGUGCCGGAAGGUUAAGGGAACGUGUUAGUCGUUUCGACGACGAAGCACUGCACAGAAGCCCCGGUGAACGGCGGCCGUAACUAUAACGGUCCUAAGGUAGCGAAAUUCCUUGUCGGGUAAGUUCCGACCCGCACGAAUGGCGUAACGAGUGGGGCACUGUCUCAACGAGGGACCCGGCGAAAUUGAAGUAUGCGUAAAGAUGCGUAUUACCCGCAGCAGGACAAAAAGACCCCGUGGAGCUUUACUGUAGCUUGCUAUUGCGUUAGGGUACCACUUGUGCAGGAUAGCUGGGAGGCUGUGAAGCUGGCGCGUCAGCGUCGGUGGAGCCAAUCUUGAGAUACCAGCCUGGUGAUGCUUUGGCCCUAACCUGCGUCCGUGAAACCGGCGUGGGGACAGUGGCAGGUGGGCAGUUUGACUGGGGCGGUCGCCUCCGAAAGCGUAACGGAGGCGCCCAAAGGUGCCCUCAGGUUGAAUGGAAACCAACCGCAGAGUGUAAAGGCAUAAGGGCGCUUGACUGCAAGGCAUACACGCCGAGCAGAGACGAAAGUCGGGCUUAGUGAUCCCACGACGCCGUGUGGAAGGGUCGUGGCUUAUCGGAUAAAAGCUACCCCGGGGAUAACAGGCUAGUCUUGCCCAAGAGUUCAUAUCGACGGCAAGGCUCGGCACCUCGAUGUCGGCUCGUCGCAUCCUGGGGCUGGACAAGGUCCCAAGGGUUGGGCUGUUCGCCCAUUAAAGCGGCACGUGAGCUGGGUUCAGACCGUCGUGAGACAGGUCGGUCUCUAUCCGCUGUGGGCGUAGGGAAAUUGCGAGGGCCUGCCCCUAGUACGAGAGGACCGGGGUGGACGGAGCGCUCGUGUGCCGGUUGUACCGCCAGGUGCAUCGCCGGGUAGCGACCUCCGGUUGAGAUAACCGCUGAAAGCAUCUAAGCGGGAAACUCGCCUCCAGAUUAGUUUCCCCUUCCCCUUCGGGGGAGUAAGACCGCUGGCAGACUACCAGCUUGAUAGGCGGGAUGUGGAAGCACGGUAACGUGUGUAGCAAACCCGUACUAAUGGUCGAGCGGCUUCCG